rnacentral:rRNA from 1 species
GGUGAGGUAACGGCCCACCAAGGCGACGAUCCAUAGCCGUCCGGAGAGGGUGACCGGCCACAUUGGGACUGAGACACGGCCCAAACUCCUACGGGAGGCAGCAGUGGGGAAUAUUGCACAAUGGGCGAAAGCCUGAUGCAGCGACGCCGCGUGAGCGAAGAAGUAUUUCGGUAUGUAAAGCUCUAUCAGCAGGGAAGAUAAUGACGGUACCUGACUAAGAAGCACCGGCUAAAUACGUGCCAGCAGCCGCGGUAAUACGUAUGGUGCAAGCGUUAUCCGGAUUUACUGGGUGUAAAGGGAGCGCAGGCGGUGCGGCAAGUCUGAUGUGAAAGCCCGGGGCUCAACCCCGGUACUGCAUUGGAAACUGUCGUACUAGAGUGUCGGAGGGGUAAGCGGAAUUCCUAGUGUAGCGGUGAAAUGCGUAGAUAUUAGGAGGAACACCAGUGGCGAAGGCGGCUUACUGGACGAUAACUGACGCUGAGGCUCGAAAGCGUGGGGAGCAAACAGGAUUAGAUACCCUGGUAGUCCACGCCGUAAACGAUGAGUAAUAGGUGUUGGGAAGCAUUGCUUCUCGGUGCCGUCG